rnacentral:tRNA from 1 species
CAGCAAAUAGUUUAUUUUUAAAAAAAAAUUUAAGUUUUGGAAACUUAAGAAAAGUUUUACACUUUUUGCUGA